AGCCGCGGUAAUACGGAGGAUGCAAGCGUUAUCCGGAUUCAUUGGGUUUAAAGGGUGCGUAGGCGGCUUGGUAAGUCAGCGGUGAAAUUCCAGUGCUCAACAUUGGCCGUGCCGUUGAUACUGCUAGGCUUGAAUGCGGAUGCCGUGGGAGGAAUGUGUGGUGUAGCGGUGAAAUGCAUAGAUAUCACACAGAACACCGAUUGCGAAGGCAUCUCACGAAUCCGCAAUUGACGCUGAGGCACGAAAGUGUGGGGAUCAAACAGGCUUAGAUACCCUGGUAGUCCACACUGUAAACGAUGAUAACUAACCGUCGGCGAUACACAGUCGGUGGCCAAGCGAAAGCGAUAAGUUAUCCACCUGGGGAGUACGUUCGCAAGAAUGAAACUCAAAGGAAUUGACGGGGGCCCGCACAAGCGGAGGAACAUGUGGUUUAAUUCGAUGAUACGCGAGGAACCUUACCCGGGCUCGAACGGCAGAUGAAGCGAUCCAGAGAUGGUGACGCCCUUCGGGGCAUCUGUCGAGGUGCUGCAUGGUUGUCGUCAGCUCGUGCCGUGAGGUGUCGGCUUAAGUGCCAUAACGAGCGCAACCCUUGUCGUUAGUUGCCAUCAGGUAAAGCUGGGGGACUCUAGCGAGACUGCCACCGCAAGGGUGUGAGGGAAGGGGGGGGAUGACGUCAAAUCAGCACGGCCCUUUACGUCCGGGGCGACACACGUGUUACAAUGGUGAGUACAGAGGGACGCUACCUGGCGACGAGGAUGCAAAUCUCGAAACUCAUCUCAGUUCGGAU
rnacentral:rRNA from 1 species